rnacentral:rRNA from 1 species
AGGACGAACGCUGGCGGCGUGCUUAACACAUGCAAGUCGAGCGGUAAGGCCCUUUCGGGGGUACACGAGCGGCGAACGGGUGAGUAACACGUGGGUGACCUGCCCUUAGCUCUGGGAUAAGCCUGGGAAACUGGGUCUAAUACCGGAUAUGACCUCGCGAUGCAUGUCGUGGGGUGGAAAGCCUUGUGCGGCUAGGGGAUGGGCCCGCGGCCUAUCAGCUUGUUGGUGGGGUGAUGGCCUACCAAGGCGACGACGGGUA